GAUGAACGCUGGCGGCGUGCCUAAUACAUGCAAGUCGAGCGAACGGACGAGAAGCUUGCUUCUCUGAUGUUAGCGGCGGACGGCUGAGUAACACGUGGAUAACCUACCUAUAAGACUGGGAUAACUUCGGGAAACCGGAGCUAAUACCGGAUAAUAUUUUGAACCGCAUGGUUCAAAAGUGAAAGACGGUCUUGCUGUCACUUAUAGAUGGAUCCGCGCUGCAUUAGCUAGUUGGUAAGGUAACGGCUUACCAAGGCAACGAUGCAUAGCCGACCUGAGAGGGUGAUCGGCCACACUGGAACUGAGACACGGUCCAGACUCCUACGGGAGGCAGCAGUAGGGAAUCUUCCGCAAUGGGCGAAAGCCUGACGGAGCAACGCCGCGUGAGUGAUGAAGGUCUUCGGAUCGUAAAACUCUGUUAUUAGGGAAGAACAUAUGUGUAAGUAACUGUGCACAUCUUGACGGUACCUAAUCAGAAAGCCACGGCUAACUACGUG
rnacentral:rRNA from 1 species